rnacentral:rRNA from 1 species
GGGAAUUUUCCGCAAUGGGCGAAAGCCUGAUGGAGCAAUACCGCGUGAGGGAUGAAGCAUCGUGGUGUGUAAACCUCUUUUCUUAAGGAAGAAUCAAUGACGGUACUUAAGGAAUAAGCACCGGCUAACUCUGUGCCAGCAGCCGCGGUAAUACAGAGGGUGCAAGCGUUGUCCGGAAUGAUUGGGCGUAAAGCAUCUGUAGGUGGUUUCUAAAGUCAACUGUUAAAUCCCAGAGCUCAACUUUGGCCAAGCAGUUGAGUACUUAGAGACUUGAGUACGGUAGGGGUAGAGGGAAUUCCUUGUUUAGCGGUGAAAUGCAUAGAGAUAAGGAAGAACACCAGUGGCGAAAGCGCUCUACUGGGCCGUAACUGACACUGAGAGAUGAAAGUUAGGG